rnacentral:rRNA from 1 species
CCUACGGGUGGCUGCAGUGGGGAAUAUUGGACAAUGGGGGGAACCCUGAUCCAGCCAUGCCGCGUGUGUGAAGAAGGCCCUCGGGUUGUAAAGCACUUUCAGUGAGGAAGAACGCCUAGUGGUUAAUACCCAUCAGGAAAGACAUCACUCACAGAAGAAGCACCGGCUAACUCCGUGCCAGCAGCCGCGGUAAUACGGAGGGUGCGAGCGUUAAUCGGAAUUACUGGGCGUAAAGCGCGCGUAGGUGGCUUGAUAAGCCGGUUGUGAAAGCCCCGGGCUCAACCUGGGAACGGCAUCCGGAACUGUCAAGCUAGAGUGCAGGAGAGGAAGGUAGAAUUCCCGGUGUAGCGGUGAAAUGCGUAGAGAUCGGGAGGAAUACCAGUGGCGAAGGCGGCCUUCUGGACUGACACUGACACUGAGGUGCGAAAGCGUGGGUAGCAAACAGGAUUAGAUACCCCAGUAGUC